CUGAAAACAAAGCCCUCUGUUUAGCCAUAGAACAGGCCCAUGCAUGUGCAGUGGCAGUGCAAGCUUCCUCCUCAUUCUGCAAGCCAACAUGUCUCAGCCCUGUUCAGGAGAGUAUAUAGUCUCAUUCUCUCUGAAGAAAUGCCAACAAAGGUGCUAAUUGCAGUGAUAUGUCUUUUGUGCUUUGGACACC
rnacentral:sRNA from 1 species